rnacentral:rRNA from 1 species
UGGUAAUGCCGGAUGCUCCAGUUGAUCGCAUGGUCUUCUGGGAAAGCUUUCGCGGUAUGGGAUGGGGUCGCGUCCUAUCAGCUUGACGGCGGGGUAACGGCCCACCGUGGCUUCGACGGGUAGCCGGCCUGAGAGGGCGACCGGCCACAUUGGGACUGAGAUACGGCCCAGACUCCUACGGGAGGCAGCAGUGGGGAAUAUUGCACAAUGGGCGCAAGCCUGAUGCAGCGACGCCGCGUGAGGGAUGGAGGCCUUCGGGUUGUAAACCUCUUUUAUCGGGGAGCAAGCGAGAGUGAGUUUACCCGUUGAAUAAGCACCGGCUAACUACGUGCCAGCAGCCGCGGUAAUACGUAGGGUGCAAGCGUUAUCCGGAAUUAUUGGGCGUAAAGGGCUCGUAGGCGGUUCGUCGCGUCCGGUGUGAAAGUCCAUCGCUUAACGGUGGAUCCGCGCCGGGUACGGGCGGGCUUGAGUGCGGUAGGGGAGACUGGAAUUCCCGGUGUAACGGUGGAAUGUGUAGAUAUCGGAAAAGAAACACCA